rnacentral:tRNA from 13 species
CCCCGUCCGGUAUAGUGGUUAUUGCGUUUGCCUUCAAACUAUAAGAAUGCGGGUUCGAUCCCCGGCUAGGAGGA